CUCGUAGGCGGCCAACUAAGUCAGACGUGAAAUCCCUCGGCUUAACCGGGGAACUGCGUCUGAUACUGGAUGGCUUGAGAUUGGGAGAGGGAUGCGGAAUUCCAGGUGUAGCGGUGAAAUGCGUAGAUAUCUGGAGGAACACCGGUGGCGAAGGCGGCAUCCUGGACCAACACUGACGCUGAGGAGCGAAAGCCAGGGAGCAAACG
rnacentral:rRNA from 1 species